rnacentral:rRNA from 1 species
UACGUAGGGAGCAAGCGUUGUCCGGAAUCAUUGGGCGUAAAGCGCGCGUAGGUGGCCUCAUAAGUCCGCUGUGAAAGUCAAAAGGCUCAACCUUUGAAAGCCGGUGGAUACUGUGAGGCUAGAGUACGGAAGAGGCGAGUGGAAUUCCUGGUGUAGCGGUGGAAUGCGUAGAUAUCGUGAGGAAGACCAGUGGCGAAGGCGGAUCUCUGGACAGCUCCUGACGCUGAGGCGCGAAGGCUAGGGGAGCAAGCAGGG